ACGAACGCUGGCGGCGUGCUUAACACCUGCAAGUCGAACGGUGAAGCGCCUUCCUUUUUGGUGGGUGUGGAUGAGUGGCGAACGGGUGAGUAACACGUGAGUAACCUGCCCCCUUCUUCUGGAUAACCGCAUGAAAGUGUGGCUAAUACGGGAUAUUCUGGGUCUGUCGCAUGAUGGGUCUGGGAAAGAUAUUGUUUCGGUGGGGGAUGGGCUCGCGGCCUAUCAGCUUGUUGGUGGGGUGAUGGCCUACCAAGGCGGUGACGGGUAGCCGGCCUGAGAGGGUGGACGGUCACACUGGGACUGAGACACGGCCAAGACUCCUACGGGAGGCAGCAGUGGGGAAUAUUGCAGAAUGGGCGCAAGCCUGAUGCAGCGACGCCGCGUGAGGGAUGGAGGCCUUCGGGUUGUGAACCUCUUUCGCCAGUGAAGCAGGCCUGCCUCGUUUGUGGGUGGGUUGACGGUAGCUGGAGAAGAAGCGCCGGCUAACUACGUG
rnacentral:rRNA from 1 species